ensembl:snoRNA
CUUCCCAUUGAUUUGCUGCUCUAGUCUUGCAGUGAUAGGAGCAGUUAUACGCAUGGGAGAGAACAAUGUUAGGCCAUGGUAAAUGGAGGUGGAGUGACCAUUUCAUCUCUUCUGCCUGGCCCAGACACUG